rnacentral:lncRNA from 1 species
AUGCAAGGAGAUCCGCUGGCAUUUGGUGCUGACCCUAUUUGCUAUUUGUAUUUGCCCGCAGAUACUGUGCCAACGCUAAAUCCCCCUUCUCUCAGGAAGCCAUUACCAGCGAGGCAAACGGAGGAAAGGUGUGCGCCGGACCCUGCCGGCCGGCCCGGGUCGAAAUCGGCCGUAGCCCAGGUGGGGCCAGCCGCCCGCCGAGCCGCUCCCGGAGCCGCGGUGCACCCGGAGGCCCGGCCCCGAGCCCGGCGGAGCCCCAGGGAAGUCCCGCACCGCCCCGUACCCCACGUCCGAUUGCUCCACCUCGGAGUGAGUAGGAAGGUUCCCUUCAGUAGCCUCAUCUCCAAAUAUUUUUAUUUGCCACCUCCGCUGUUUCCCUCCAGCCGGCACUCCUGGCAGCUGCUGUCAAUUUGCGCGAAAGCACGGCGGGCAGCGGCGCGGGGAACACGCACCUCACCCCGACGGAAGCCGAGGGCAGCGGCAGCGCGACCGUGCCUGGCGGAGCGCGACCGCCGAGCCCCACGCUCGCGCCCCGGGCGGGCACCGACCCUCAUCACGGAAAGCGGAGGCGGGGGCUCCGCGGAGGGACCGGAGCCGUGCGGGGCCGGGGGUGCAGGGCAGGAUGCGUGCAGCCCCGCGCACACGCCGCCCGCGCUCCCGCCGGGGCGGAGCUGCGGCCCUUCGCGAAGCGUGGAGCGCAAGCCGGCUCGGAGCCAGCCGGAGGGUUCGCUGUUCCCACAGCACCCACCUGGGGCCCUGGCGCCCCCCAAAGCCAGGGCCCGGGCGCAGACCGCCCUCCUGGGCUUCGCUGCGGGACCCGCCGGGGCGCCCGGCCCCGGCCGCCCCUCGGUGGCCACGGUAGCGGGGAGCCGAGGCGACGGGCGGCGUCGGGGUGACCCCUGGCCGGCCCCCGCAGCCCUCCUGCUGCCGUUGCCCCUCGGACGUUUCGCAGAAGCUCGGAGCAGGGGUAGCUGCAGCGCGGCCGGUCCCUCGCAGAGGGGCGAGGGGGAAGAAAGGGGCUCUGUCCUCACCGGCGGCGACCGAGGUAGCCGAGAAGCUCCAGCGGGCCCCCUCCGCCCCUCGGCACACGCGUUUCCAUUUGACGGCCCAGGUCUCCUGCCGGAGAGCAGUGUUUAUUCAUUACAUAAACAGAAGUGA